CUCCAGACUCCUACGGGAGGCAGCAGUGGGGAAUAUUGCACAAUGGGGGGAACCCUGAUGCAGCGACGCCGCGUGGGUGAAGGAGUAUUUCGGUAUGUAAAGCCCUCUCAGCAGGGAAGAACAAUGACGGUACCUGACUAAGAAGCACCGGCUAAAUACGUGCCAGCAGCCGCGGUAAUACGUAUGGUGCAAGCGUUAUCCGGAUUUACUGGGUGUAAAGGGAGCGCAGGCGGCGCGUUAAGCCUGGUGUGAAAGCCCGCGGCCCAACCGCGGGACUGCAUUGGGAACUGGCGCGCUGGAGUGCCGGAGGGGUAGGCGGAAUUCCUAGUGUAGCGGUGAAAUGCGUAGAUAUCAGGAGGAACACCGGCGGCGAAGGCGGCUUACUGGACGGCAACUGACGUUGAGGCCCGAAAGCGUGGGGAGCGAACAGGAUUAGAUACCCUUGUAGC
rnacentral:rRNA from 1 species